rnacentral:rRNA from 1 species
CACGUAGGGGGCAAGCGUUGUCCGGAAUCAUUGGGCGUAAAGAGCUCGUAGGCGGCUCAGUAAGUCGGAUGUGAAACCCUCAGGCUCAACCUGGGGACGCCACCCGAUACUGCUGUGGCUAGAGUCCAGUAGGGGAGUAUGGAAUUCCCGGUGUAGCGGUGAAAUGCGCAGAUAUCGGGAGGAACACCAGCGGCGAAGGCGGCACUCUGGGCUGGAACUGACGCUGAGGAGCGAAAGCGUGGGUAGCAAACAGG